rnacentral:rRNA from 1 species
CGUGUAGGCGGUCGGUCAAGUCCGGUGUGAAAGCCCGGGGCUCAGUUCCGGAAGUGCAUCGGAAACUAGCCGACUGGAGCGCGAUAGAGGAGGGUGGAAUUCCUGGUGUAGCGGUGAAAUGCGUAGAUAUCAGGAGGAACACCGGCGGCGAAGGCGGCCCUCUGGAUCGUUGCUGACGCUGAGACGCGAAAGCGUGGGGAGCAAACAGGAUUAGAUACCCUGGUAGUCCACGCUGUAAACUAUGGGUACUAGGUGUUCGGGGUGUUGACCCCCUGAGUGCCGACGCUAACGCAUUAAGUACCCCGCCUGGGGACUACGGCCGCAAGGCUAAA